UACAGAGGUCUCAAGCGUUGUUCGGAUUCAUUGGGCGUAAAGGGUGCGUAGGUGGCGCCGUAAGUCAGGUGUGAAAUUUCGGAGCUUAACUCCGAAACUGCAUUUGAUACUGCGGUGCUUGAGGACUGGAGAGGAGACUGGAAUUCACGGUGUAGCAGUGAAAUGCGUAGAGAUCGUGAGGAAGACCAGUGGCGAAGGCGGCUUGCCAGAAUGCGCUCGACGGUGAGGGAUGAAAGCUAGGGGAGCAAACGGG
rnacentral:rRNA from 1 species